CGGCCGUAGGAUGGUGUGCGUGAGCACUGACAACCCGAUUUACCAUGAUGCUGGAGGUGACUGAGGCCGACUGUGUCCCGUCCAAUCAAGACAUCGCAGUGCAGAUAGAGACAAGAGGCAGUGAGAUGCCACGGCCAUACGCUCGAGAUCUGGCCAUCACUGCCGUCAUCUGCUUUAUUGGUGGCAUUGGCUUGACUCUGCUGGCAGUCCUGAUUUACUAUCAAGUGUCCCACAAGAAGAAAGUAAAAGAAGGUGAAACACAGAAGGAGGAAGAGGAAGGACGCCCCGCUGUUUUCAGCAACCACAUCAGUGAGAAGAGGAGGGAUGUUUCCUUGCAAGCUAGUAGCAGUCAACCAUCGGACAGGAAAGCCAUGAUGUUCGAAAAUCAUGGUGGCCAGUUUUGGUCCGGAGUGGAUGAGGAUGAUGGUCAUUUUAGGUGCCUAGACCGCACCAAAUCACAGAGGGGGGUGUGGCCGAAUCAGAUGAGAUUGAAUAAUGGGAUAAACAGAGAGAUGGAGGCUGAGGAGGAAAGAGAGAAGAGGAGAAUGAGGGUGAUGACAGAGGAGGAGAGGAGGAAACUUGGGAUUCAGCAGGGAACCCUGAUCAGGGAAAUUCCUAAAAAGCUUCUUUCUCUUGGAAACUCCAACUCUUUUACUCAUCCAUGGAGAGAAACCUUCAAUGGAAGACCAGGGACCCUGUCAGCUUAUAAGACAGACAGAAACAUGGACAGCUACAGGACUGAUGUGGAAGGUAGGAGUAAUGGAUAUGAGAAUUUACACUGCGAGAGCUGCCACAGGACUUCCAGACCACCAGGGCAGACCGUGAGACCGGGGAGGAUUCACACCAACAUGAGAGACUCUGCUCUGAUUGACAGCGUCUCUCCACAACACAGACUGAUUGACAAGGGUAGGAAUGUUAACCACAACCAGUUUGACACGAUGAAGGACACAGAGUUGAGAAGAGAAGGAAGACAUGUAACAUUUGAUCUGGAGGGGUCGAGAAUCCUAGAGCAAGGUGAGGACAAGAGGGAGGGGAGAGGGAGGACCUCCAGAGACAAAGACAAAAGAAGAACAAGGAGACAAAAAGGUCAAAUCCAAUCCAGUCGACAACUGAAGGUCAAACUAAACUUGAGCCCUCGUAGAAAAAGUAAAGUCCAUCCUAAGAGGAAAACCGAGCAUGGCGACCGAAGCAGCUCCAGUAAAAGUAAAGAGAAAAGAGAGGAUGGUAAAGAAAGAGAAGAAAAGGAAGGGAAACCAAAGUCUGGUAAGAAGACAAAGGGGAGCAGCGAGAAAAUGAAGAAAUCCACCAGGAGUACAGGUUCUUCUGAGGAAGAGAAGGAGAAAAAAAUGGCUCCGGCAUCUCCAAGUACACACGGUCUGUCCGAGGUAAACCGUCAGGCACUGGGAUCAUUGACUACAGUGGAGCAUUUGUCAGACAAUACUGGUCAGACAGGGACUGGGCAUGCAGCUGGUGGGUCAGCAGGCAAUAGGUUAGCUGGGGCUGUGGCUCUAACAGAAGGACCAGCAGUGGGGGUGUAUGGAGACGACAUGGACACAGCUGUAUCAGGUGUCUCUGUGCCUAGUAUGUCUGCUCAGAAUGGAUCCUCCACAGGGGGUGCUGAUGGUGCUGAUGGUGCUGAUGGAGCUGAUGGAGCUGCUGCGGCUACUGCACUGCUGCAGCAGGAGUAUGUGACCAAGGAGGGAGGCUCCUCUCCGAGGAGGAAGCUGAGACUGGUGCUUCCUGAGAAGACAUCCAGUCGACCGCCCACAGCACUGGAAAGGAAGAUACGCUAG
rnacentral:lncRNA from 1 species